rnacentral:rRNA from 1 species
UACGUAGGGUGCAAGCGUUAAUCGGAAUUACUGGGCGUAAAGCGUGCGCAGGCGGUUUUGUAAGUUUGUCGUGAAAGCCCCGGGCUCAACCUGGGAAUUGCGAUGAAGACUGCAAGGCUUGAAUCUGGCAGAGGGGGGGUAGAAUUCCACGUGUAGCAGUGAAAUGCGUAGAGUAUGCGGAGGAACACCGAUGGCGAAGGCAAGCCUCCCGU